GACGAACCGUGCGAACGUUGUUCGGAAUCACUGGGCUUAAAGGGCGCGUAGGCGGGCCACCAAGUCAGGGGUGAAAUCCCGAGGCUCAACCUCGGAACUGCCUUCGAUACUGCGGGUCUCGAGUCCGGGAGAGGUGAGUGGAAUUCCUAGUGUAGAGGUGAAAUUCGAUAGAUAUUAGGAAGAACACCAGUGGCGAAGGCGGCUCACUGGCCCGGUACUGACGCUGAGGCGCGAAAGCGUGGGGAGCAAACAGG
rnacentral:rRNA from 1 species